AUACUUGGUUUAGUCUAUCGGGUGUCUUCGUUCCCUCUCACCCACAGCAACAAGUGUGAGGCCGAGGCUAAAUGCUUCCUUAACUUCUCAUCAGAUGAUGUCAUCUCCAAACUUGAGUGCGUUGAAGGUGACUGGCUUGGAGAGGAACAGAUGUGUUUGGGAUGCUUCCAUCUAGUGGCCACGCAAAAACACUGUUGAUACUACACAAUGUG